rnacentral:hammerhead_ribozyme from 2 species
UUAGGCCAUUAUCUACAGCUGACGAGUGCCGAGAAGAGCAAAACCCAUUAGAUUCUGUAGUACUGGCCUCAGAAUCA